UACGGGGGGAGCAAGCGUUGUUUGGAUUUACUGGGCGUAAAGGGCGCGUAGGCGGCGUGACAAGUCACUUGUGAAAUCUCCGGGCUUAACUCGGAGCGGUCAAGUGAUACUGUCGUGCUAGAGUUCGGUAGGGGAGACUGGAAUUCCUGGUGUAGCGGUGAAAUGCGCAGAUAUCAGGAGGAACACCGGUGGCGAAGGCGGGUCUCUGGGCCGAUACUGACGCUGAGGAGCGAAAGCGUGGGGAGCGAACAGG
rnacentral:rRNA from 1 species